GUCCCCGUAGCUCAAUGUAAGAGCGUCUGGUUCGGAGCCAGAAGGUUCCAGGUUCAAGUCCUGGCGGGGGCA
rfam:Candidatus Roizmanbacteria bacterium RIFCSPLOWO2_02_FTLL_43_10 rifcsplowo2_02_scaffold_1624, whole genome shotgun sequence.